rnacentral:rRNA from 1 species
GAUGAACGCUGGCGGCGUGCCUAACACAUGCAAGUCGAGCGAACAGACGAGGCUUUUGCUUCUCUGACGUUAGCGGCGGGCGGGUGAGUAACACGUGGAUAACCUACCUAUAAGACUGGGAUAACUUCGGGAAACCGGAGCUAACACCGGAUAAGAUAUUGAACCGCAUGGUUCAAUAGUGAAAGACGGUUUUGCUGUCCCUUAUAGAUGGUUCCGGGCCGGAUUAGCUAGUUGGUAAGGUAACGGCCUACCAAGGCGACGAUGCGUAGCCGAACUGAGAGGGUGGUCGGACACACUGGAACUGAGACACGGUCCAGACUCCUACGGGAGGCAGCAGUAGGGAAUCUUCCGCAAUGGGCGAAAGCCUGACAGAGCGACGCCGCGUGUGUGAUGAAGGUCUUCGGAUCGUAAAGCUCUGUUAUUAGGGAGGAACAACUGUGUAUUUAAACAUGCCCGUCUUGACGGUACCUAAUCAAAAAGCACCGGCUAACUACGUG